CGCCCGUUUGUGUUGGCAGUUUUCAAAGGUGAGGGCCGGAUAAACAAGGAGCCUCUCUGCCGGAGCUGGGGCUCCGAGAACGGGGUGUCCUGAGCCCGCCAGAGAGAGCCUGUUACACAAAGUCCCUCCCUCCGUGUCCAGGACUCGCAUGAUCAGAUCCCUGGCCGCAGCCCAGUCUUCCCUGAGGAAGCAACGCACGACAGAUGAACAGGCUCUUUCUGAUUUGGUCAUCAUGGGUGUUUUGUGAAAGAAAACCCUGGAAGAUGGCUUUAGUGUGCAGGAGAACAAAGGAUCCAGGCAGAAGAUUGUCUGGGAGAAGGUGGCCCCCAUGCCAUGAGGACACACAAGCAGCGCUGUGGGGACACACACCUAGAGAAGAACUGGGAGCUCCCACCAAUAACCAGCACCAACUUGCCAGUCAGGUGAGUGAGGCAUCUUGGAAGUGGCUCCUCCAUCCCCAGUCGAGCCUGCAGAUGAUGCAGCCCCACCCAACAUCUUAACUGCCACUUUAUGACAGACCCUGAGCCAGAACCACCCAGCCAAGUUGCCCACAAACUCCUGACCCACGGAA